rnacentral:rRNA from 1 species
GAUGAACGCUGGCUACAGGCUUAACACACGCAAGUCGAGGGGAAACGACGGGGAAGCUUGCUUCCCCGGGCGUCGACCGGCGCACGGGUGAGUAACGCGUAUCCAACCUGCCUCUGACUGAGGGAUAACCCGUCGAAAGUCGGCCUAAUACCUCAUGGUAUCGUCUGCGGGCAUCCAACGACGAUUAAAGAUUUCAUCGGUCAGGGAUGGGGAUGCGUCUGAUUAGCUUGUUGGCGGGGUAACGGCCCACCAAGGCUACGAUCAGUAGGGGUUCUGAGAGGAAGGUCCCCCACAUUGGAACCGAGACACGGUCCAAACUCCUACGGGAGGCAGCAGUGAGGAAUAUUGGUCAAAGGGCGAGAGCCUGAACCAGCCAAGUAGCGUGCAGGAAGACGGCCCUAUGGGUUGUAAACUGCUUUUAGGCGGGGAUAAAGUGAGGGACGUGUCCCUCAUUGCAGGUACCGCAUGAAUAAGGACCGGCUAAUUCCGUG